AUACGGAGGGUCCGAGCGUUAAUCGGAAUUACUGGGCGUAAAGCGCGCGUAGGUGGUUCAGUCAGUCAGAUGUGAAAGCCCCGGGCUCAACCUGGGAACUGCACCUGAUACUGCUGAGCUAGAGUACGGUAGAGGGCAGUGGAAUUUCCGGUGUAGCGGUGAAAUGCGUAGAGAUCGGAAGGAACACCAGUGGCGAAGGCGACUGCCUGGCCUGAUACUGACACUGAGGUGCGAAAGCGUGGGUAGCAAACAGGAUUAGAUACCCUGGUAGUCCACGCCGUAAACGAUGUCAACUAGCCGUUGGGGGACUUGAUCCUUUAGUGGCGAAGCUAACGCGAUAAGUUGACCGCCUGGGGAGUACGGCCGCAAGGUUAAAACUCAAAUGAAUUGACGGGG
rnacentral:rRNA from 1 species